CCUGGCUCAGGAUGAACGCUAGCUACAGGCUUAACACAUGCAAGUCGAGGGGCAGCAUGGUCUUAGCUUGCUAAGACUGAUGGCGACCGGCGCACGGGUGAGUAACACGUAUCCNACCUGCCGUCUACUCUUGGACAGCCUUCUGAAAGGAAGAUUAAUACAAGAUGGCAUCAUGAGUCCGCAUGUUCACAUGAUUAAAGGUAUUCCGGUAGACGAUGGGGAUGCGUUCCAUUAGAUAGUAGGCGGGGUAACGGCCCACCUAGUCUUCGAUGGAUAGGGGUUCUGAGAGGAAGGUCCCCCACAUUGGAACUGAGACACGGUCCAAACUCCUACGGGAGGCAGCAGUGAGGAAUAUUGGUCAAUGGGCGAGAGCCUGAACCAGCCAAGUAGCGUGAAGGAUGACUGCCCUAUGGGUUGUAAACUUCUUUUAUAAAGGAAUAAAGUCGGGUAUGGAUACCCGUUUGCAUGUACUUUAUGAAUAAGGAUCGGCUAACUCCGUGCCAGCAGCCGCGGUAAUACGGAGGAUCCGAGCGUUAUCCGGAUUUAUUGGGUUUAAAGGGAGCGUAGAUGGAUGUUUAAGUCAGUUGUGAAAGUUUGCGGCUCACCCGUAAAAUUGCAGUUGAUACUGGAUUCUUGAGUGCAGUUGAGGCAGGCGGAAUUCGUGGUGUAGCGGUGAAAUGCUUAGAUAUCACGAAGAACUCCGAUUGCGAAGGCAGCCUGCUAAGCUGCAACUGACAUUGAGGCUCGAAAGUGUGGGUAUCAAACAGGAUUAGAUACCCUGGUAGUCCACACGGUAAACGAUGAAUACUCGCUGUUUGCGAUAUACUGCAAGCGGCCAAGCGAAAGCGUUAAGUAUUCCACCUGGGGAGUACGCCGGCAACGGUGAAACUCAAAGGAAUUGACGGGGGCCCGCACAAGCGGAGGAACAUGUGGUUUAAUUCGAUGAUACGCGAGGAACCUUACCCGGGCUUAAAUUGCAGAUGAAUUACGGUGAAAGCCGUAAGCCGCAAGGCAUCUGUGAAGGUGCUGCAUGGUUGUCGUCAGCUCGUGCCGUGAGGUGUCGGCUUAAGUGCCAUAACGAGCGCAACCCUUGUUGUCAGUUACUAACAGGUUCCGCUGAGGACUCUGACAAGACUGCCAUCGUAAGAUGUGAGGAAGGUGGGGAUGACGUCAAAUCAGCACGGCCCUUACGUCCGGGGCUACACACGUGUUACAAUGGGGGGUACAGAGGGCCGCUACCACGCGAGUGGAUGCCAAUCCCCAAAACCUCUCUCAGUUCGGACUGGAGUCUGCAACCCGACUCCACGAAGCUGGAUUCGCUAGUAAUCGCGCAUCAGCCACGGCGCGGUGAAUACGUUCCCGGGCCUUGUACACACCGCCC
rnacentral:rRNA from 1 species